AGAAAAUAUUUCUUUGUAUGCAAUUGUACAAGACUUUCUCAUCGACGUGGGUGCUAUCAUAAAUUUCUCUAUCCGAAGAUGCCUACGAGGACCAUUUUCUGAUGGCCUUCCACACCCAUCUCUCAUAUGUGGGCUGUGCAAGCAGGCUGGAGUUAGGUGGUCCAGUGAUGAGACUACACAGAUGCUGCUACAGACUUUG
rnacentral:lncRNA from 1 species